ACCCGCUGAACUUAAGCAUAUCAAUAAGCGGAGGAAAAGAAACUAACAAGGAUUCCCCUAGUAACUGCGAGUGAAGAGGGAAAAGCUCAAAUUUAAAAUCUGGCGGUCCUUGCGGCUGUCCGAGUUGUAAUUUAGAGAAGCGUCACCCGUGCUGGACCGUGUACAAGUCUCCUCGAACGGAGCAUCAUAGAGGGUGAGAAUCCCGUACAUGACACGGACUCCCAGUGCAUUGUGGUGCGCUCUCGACGAGUCGAGUUGUUUGGGAAUGCAGCUCAAAAUGGGUGGUAAAUUCCAUCUAAAGCUAAAUAUAGGCGAGAGACCGAUAGCGAACAAGUACCGUGAGGGAAAGAUGAAAAGAACUUUGGAAAGAGAGUUAAACAGUACGUGAAAUUGUUGAAAGGGAAACGCUUGAAGUCAGUCGCGUCCUUCAGAGAUCAACCCGGCCUUUCGCUUGGUGCACUCUUUGGAGGACGGGUCAGCAUCAAUUUUGACCGAGGGAAAAAGUUGGUAGGGAUGUGGCACCUUCGGGUGUGUUAUAACCUAUUUGCAUAUAUCUCGGUUGGGAUUGAGGAACUCAGCACGCCGCAAGGCCGGACUUUUGUCACGUUCGCGCUUAGGAUGCUGGCAUAAUGGCUUUAAUCGACCCGUCUUGAAACACGG
rnacentral:rRNA from 1 species